UACAGAGGUCCCGAGCGUUAGGCGGAAUCACUGGGCUUAAAGCGUGUGUAGGUGGAUCGGUAAGUACCUUGUGAAAUCCCACAGCUUAACUGUGGAACUGCUUGGUAUACUGCCAGUCUUGAGCCAGCUAGGGGCUACCGGAACAAAUGGUGGAGCGGUGAAAUGCGUAGAUAUCAUUUGGAACGCCAAUGGUGAAAACAGGUUGCUGGGAGUGUGCUGACGCUGAGACACGAAAGCCAGGGGAGCGAACGGG
rnacentral:rRNA from 1 species